CUUGCCACACAACUGGAAACAGGGAAAAUUUGAUGUGCUUCUUAUUCACCGACAUUACGGUCUUGUCGUCUGCAUGUGAUGUCGUUCGGUGACAUUACAAACGACCAUAAAAUGUCACAGGAGGAUAUUGUCAAGACCAUCAGAAAGAAGCUGAGAGACGCCGUGUCACAGCUGAACAAAGCGGAGGCAUGUUGUCUCACUGGUGUCUGAUGUCUGUCCGGUCUGCGCAAUCACCAAGACCAUCGCCGUCCCUAACCUCACGACUGACCAGGUACAGCAGGCCAUCUCUCACGACUCACAACUCAUUGAGGACCUGCACUGCUGUCUAAAAACUACUGACCCCGCCGACAUCGCUGGUGUGUGUCUGUGCUGUGAUCAGUUGUCUGACCCCAAGACCCCGUGUGACGUCAGGAGUCACGUGUUAAAGGAACUCGGCAAAUGGUGGACACGACGUGUGGCUGUGUCUGGGCCUGACAGUCACAUGACACGUCACGUGUACAAGACACUAGUAGCACGGUUCUGUGGUCCGGCGACAACAGUGACUAUGCCAUGCACAUGUCCUCCACGU